UUAUAGCUUUAUUCUUAUUGAAAAACAAAUUCAUUUAAUUUGUUUGCCUAGUUCAAUACACUAACCUGGAGUUGUUUUCAUAUUGAAAGGGAAUAUUUACAAUCUGAAGCAUCUGCGUCAUUUGCACAUGGAGCUGCAUCACCUAAAGAUGAAGAUUACUCAGAUGAGUUGUACAGAAGUCUUCAACAGCCAACAAGUGAUCUCUACCAAACUAUCUCCACUGGUCACUGUCAGAAUGAAUAUGAAAUUACAUCAGCCAGCCACAAAGUAAUUGUUAACCUGAAUAAUGUGGAAAUGGAGAGGAAUUGUGAAAUCUAUGAAAACCUUUGAACCAAAAUUAUGUCUACAUAAAUAAAGCUUUAUGAACAUCA